GUUGUAGCUCAGUGGUAGAGCACUUGAUUAGCAUGUGUGAGGCCCUGAGUUCAAACCUCAGCACGACA
rnacentral:tRNA from 1 species